rnacentral:rRNA from 1 species
GACGAACGCUGGCGGCGUGCUUAACACAUGCAAGUCGAACGGAAAGGCCCUGCUUUUGUGGGGUGCUCGAGUGGCGAGCGGGUGUGUAACACGUGAGUAACCUGCCCUUGACUUUGGGAUAACUUCAGGAAACUGGGGCUAAUACCGGAUCGGAGCUCCUGCUGCAUGGUGGGGGUUGGAAAUUUUCGGCGGUUGGGGAUGGACCCGCGGCUUAUCAGCUUGUUGGUGGGGUAGUGGCUUACCAAGGCUUUGACGGGUAGCCGGGCUGAGAGGGUGACCGGCCACAUUGGGACUGAGAUACGGCCCAGACUCCUACGGGAGGCAGCAGUGGGGAAUAUUGCACAAUGGGCGGAAGCCUGAUGAAGCAACGCCGCGUGCGGGAUGACGGCCUUCGGGUUGUAAACCGCUUUCGCCUGUGACGAAGCGUGAGUGACGGUAAUGGGUAAAGAAGCACCGGCUAACAACGUG